CAGGCGGUUUGUUAAGUCAGAUGUGAAAUCCCCGGGCUCAACCUGGGAACUGCAUCUGAUACUGGCAAGCUUGAGUCUCGUAGAGGGGGGUAGAAUUCCAGGUGUAGCGGUGAAAUGCGUAGAGAUCUGGAGGAAUACCGGUGGCGAAGGCGGCCCCCUGGACGAAGACUGACGCUCAGGUGCGAAAGCGUGGGGAGCAAACAGGAUUAGAUACCCUGGUAGUCCACGCCGUAAACGAUGUCGACUUGGAGGUUGUGCCCUUGAGGCGUGGCUUCCGGAGCUAACGCGUUAAGUCGACCGCCUGGGGAGUACGGCCGCAAGGUUAAAACUCAAAUGAAUUGACGGGGGCCCGCACAAGCGGUGGAGCAUGUGGUUUAAUUCGAUGCAACGCGAAGAACC
rnacentral:rRNA from 1 species